rnacentral:rRNA from 1 species
GACGUAGGGCGCGAGCGUUGUCCGGAUUUAUUGGGCGUAAAGAGCUCGUAGGCGCUUGUCGCGUCGACUGUGAAAUCCCGCGGCUCAACCGCGGGUCUGCAGUCGAUACGGGCAGGCUAGAGUUCGGUAGGGGAGACUGGAAUUCCUGGUGUAGCGGUGAAAUGCGCAGAUAUCAGGAGGAACACCGAUGGCGAAGGCAGGUCUCUGGGCCGAUACUGACGCUGAGGAGCGAAAGCGUGGGGAGCGAACAGG